rnacentral:rRNA from 1 species
CCUACGGGUGGCAGCAGUGAGGAAUAUUGGUCAAUGGGCGUAAGCCUGAACCAGCCAAGUCGCGUGAGGGAUGAAGGUUCUAUGGAUCGUAAACCUCUUUUAUAAGGGAAUAAAGUGCGGGACGUGUCCCGUUUGGUAUGUACCUUAUGAAUAAGGAUCGGCUAACUCCGUGCCAGCAGCCGCGGUAAUACGGAGGAUCCGAGCGUUAUCCGGAUUUAUUUGGUUUAAAGGGUGCGUAGGCGGCAUUUUAAGUUAGCGGUGAAAUUCUGUGGCGCAAACAUAGAAGUGCCGUUGAAACUGGGAGGAUUGAGUAUGUUAGAGGCAGGCGGAAUGCGUGGUGUAGCGGUGAAAUGCUGAGAUAGCACGCAGAACCCCGAUUGCGAAGGCAGCCUGCCGGGCCAUGACUGACGCUGAUGCACGAAAGCGUGGGGAUCAAACAGGAUUAGAUACCCGAGUAGUC